rnacentral:rRNA from 1 species
UACGUAGGGUGCAAGCGUUGUCCGGAAUUAUUGGGCGUAAAGAGCUCGUAGGCGGUCUGUCGCGUCUGCUGUGAAAACUCGGGGCUUAACCCCGGGCCUGCAGUGGGUACGGGCAGACUAGAGUGCGGUAGGGGAGACUGGAAUUCCGUGGUGUAGCGGUGAAAUGCGCAGAUAUCAGGAGGAACACCGGUGGCGAAGGCGGGUCUCUGGGCCGAUACUGACGCUGAGGAGCGAAAGCGUGGGGAGCGAACAGG